rnacentral:rRNA from 1 species
AGGAUGAACGCUGGCGGCGUGCCUAAUACAUGCAAGUCGAGCGGUAAGGCUACUUCGGUAGUACACGAGCGGCGGACGGCUGAGUAACACGUAGGAACGUACCCCAAAGUGAGGCAUAAGCACCAGAAAUGGUGUCUAAUACCGCAUGUGAUCUUCGGAUUAAAGCUUCGGCGCUUUGGGAACGGCCUGCGCAUGAUUAGCUUGUUGGUGAGGUAAUAGCUCACCAAGGCGACGAUCAUUAGCUGGUCUGAGAGGAUGACCAGCCAGACUGGGACUGAGAACGGCCCAGACUCCUACGGGAGGCAGCAGUAGGGAAUUUUCCACAAUGGGCGAAAGCCUGAUGGAGCAACGCCGCGUGCAGGAUGAAGGCUCUCGGGUCGUAAACUGCUUUUAUAUGUGAAGAUUAUGACGGUAGCAUAUGAAUAAGGAUCGGCUAACUACGUGCCAGCAGCCGCGGU